AGUCCCGCCCCUUUUCCAAUGACGCCAACGGCGCCGUGUUGUGAGUCUGCUGGUAGCAAAACCUCACAUUACUGCACAUUACAGUUCGUUACUUAAAUCAAGCGAUCGUGAUCUUAAGAAGGGCUGUACAUUGCGGAAUAUCAUGUCAGACACGGAGACCAAGCCCUCAAGUGAUGGAGGCGAGAAGAAAGAUGGAGAAUAUAUUAAACUGAAAGUGAUCGGUCAGGACAACAGUGAAAUUCACUUCAAAGUGAAGAUGACUACACAUUUAAAGAAGCUGAAGGAAUCCUACAGUCAGGAGACAGGGUGUACCCAUGAACUCUCUAAGGUUUCUUUUUGAGGGACAGAGAAUUGCAGACAACCAAACCCCCAAAGAGGUACAGUACACACUUCCAUGAGUAAAAC